UACGUAGGGGGCAAGCGUUGUCCGGAAUCAUUGGGCGUAAAGAGCGUGUAGGCGGCCCGGUAAGUCCGCUGUGAAAGUCCAGGGCUCAACCCUGGAAUGCCGGUGGAAACUGUCGGGCUAGAGUCCGGAAGAGGCGAGUGGAAUUCCUGGUGUAGCGGUGAAAUGCGCAGAUAUCAGGAGGAACACCAAUGGCGAAGGCAGCUCGCUGGGACGGUACUGACGCUGAGGCGCGAAAGCGUGGGGAGCAAACGGG
rnacentral:rRNA from 1 species